CCGGCUCCCACGAACAAUCCCGCCCGGAGUAUAUUACUCUCGAUCUCUUGUGCGGACCUACGGGUGCCCAGA
rfam:Leptomonas pyrrhocoris LpyrH10_06, whole genome shotgun sequence.